AUUUGAAUGCUCUAGGCAAGAUGGGCAUAAAAAACUCAAGCCCAAUGCUGUGCCAACUCUUUUCAAUGUGCCUAAUCCCCCACAACUGUUGACCCCACAGCGUCUAAAAGGCAUUGGUUUACCAAAGCACCGUUAAGUUACAUCCAAUUUUUGUAAUGGUGGCUUGCUGCACGGUUUACCUUUAUCAACUGAAGCGAUUUCUGUUGCUGAACCAUCUGUUGUUCAUUUGCCACAACCUUCAGCUUCAUAUUUUGGAGAAAUAAAUUUUGCUGCCGAAGUAUCUGAUGUUUGUUUGCAAGAACAAGCUUCAACUUCAUCUUGUGAUAAAAUGCCAUCUAUUUGUGAAGGAUCUCAUGUUUGUUUGCAAGAACAGCCUUUAGCCUCAUUUUGCAAUGAAAUACCAUCUAUUUGUGAAGGCUCUGAUGAUGUUCUUUUAAGGAAUUUUAUAAAACAGCAGACUGAAUUGAUCUCGCUUCUGCAAUGCCAGAACAAAAUAUUACUGAAAGAACUUACAGCAACCAAAAAAAAA